rnacentral:tRNA from 1 species
GCCUUGGUAGUGUAAUGGACCAGGACGGCAGGUCGGAUAUCCGUAAGCGCGGGUUCGAUUCCCGCCUGAGGUC